rnacentral:rRNA from 1 species
AUUGAACGCUGGCGGCAUGCCUUACACAUGCAAGUCGAACGGUAACGCGGGGCAACCUGGCGACGAGUGGCGAACGGGUGAGUAAUGCAUCGGAACGUGCCCAGUAGUGGGGGGUAGGCCGGCGAAAGCCGGAUUAAUACCCCAUACGACCUACGGGUGAAAGGGGGGGAUCGCAAGACCUCCUGCUAUUGGAGCGGCCGAUGUCAGAUUAGGUAGUUGGUGGGGUAAAAGCCUACCAAGCCGACGAUCUGUAGCUGGUCUGAGAGGACGACCAGCCACACUGGGACUGAGACACGGCCCAGACUCCUACGGGAGGCAGCAGUGGGGAAUUUUGGACAAUGGGGGAAACCCUGAUCCAGCCAUGCCGCGUGCGGGAAGAAGGCCUUCGGGUUGUAAACCGCUUUUGUCAGGGAAGAAACGCUCUGGGCUAAUACCUUGGAGUAAUGACGGUACCUGAAGAAUAAGCACCGGCUAACUACGUGCCAGCAGCCGCGGUAA